AUUGAACGCUGGCGGCAGGCCUAACACAUGCAAGUCGAACGAGUGGCGGACGGGUGAGUAAUGUCUGGGAAACUGCCCGCUGGAGGGGGAUAACUACUGGAAACGGUAGCUAAUACCGCAUACCAUCGGAUGUGCCCAGAUGUGUUUAGCUGGCAGGUGGGGUAACGGCUCACCUAGGCGACGAUCCCUAGCUGGUCUGGGAGGAUGACCAGACAGAGUGGAACUGGGACACGGUCCAGACUCCUACGGGAGGCAGCAGUGGGGAAUAUUGCACAAUGGGCGCAAGCCUGAUGCAGCCAUGCCGCGUGUAUGAAGAAGGCCUUCGGGUUGUAAAGUACUUUCAGCGAGGAGGCGUUACUCGCAGAAGAAGCACCGGCUAACUCCGUGCCAGCAGCCGCGGUAAUAC
rnacentral:rRNA from 1 species